GAUGAACGCUAGCGGCAGGCCUAACACAUGCAAGUCGAGGGAGGAGCCUUCGGGCUUCGACCGGCGUACGGGUGCGUAACGCGUAUACAAUCUGCCUUUCACAUAGGGAUAGCCCGAAGUAAUUUGGAUUAAUACCUAAUGGUAUAUAGAUGUGGCAUCACCUUUAUAUUAAAGCUGAGGCGGUGUAAGAUGAGUAUGCGUUCUAUUAGCUAGUUGGAGAGGUAACGGCUCCCCAAGGCGACGAUAGAUAGGGGUUCUGAGAGGGAUAUCCCCCACACUGGUACUGAGAUACGGACCAGACUCCUACGGGAGGCAGCAGUGAGGAAGAUUGGACAAUGGUAUGAAGACUGAUCCAGCGAUGCCGCGUGCAGGAAGACGGCCUUAUGGGUUGUAAACUGCUUUUGCAGGGGAAGAAUAAGGACUACGCGUAGUUUGAUGACGGUACUCUGCGAAUAAGCAUCGGCUAACUCCGUG
rnacentral:rRNA from 1 species